AUGCUCAUGCUGUUGGAGGCCCAUUCCCUCGGUGGCCCAUUGGCCCACCAGCAGCAGCUCCUGCUGUGCCUGCUCCUUCACUUGGGCCUCGGGAUCCAGCUCUCCUACUCCCUCGCCGCCACCAGCAACCAAACUACGUGCCGGCCGGACCAGUCCUCGGUACUGCUCCGGCUGCGGCGUUCCUUCUCCGCCACCACCGACUCCACAUGCACCCUCGCGUCGUGGCGUGCCGGCACGGACUGCUGCCACUGGGAGGGCGUCGCCUGUGCCGCCGCCGAUGGCCGCGUCACCACCCUCGACCUCGCCGAAUGCGGGCUGCAGAGCGCUGGCCUCCACCCGGCGCUUUUUGAGCUCACCUCCCUGAGGUACCUGGACCUCUCCUUCAACAGCUUCAACGAGUCGGAGCUCCCGGCCGUCGGGUUCGAGCGGCUCACCGAGCUCACAUACCUCAACCUGUCCUACACCGACUUCCGAGGCAAGAUACCACACGGGAUACGGCGGCUCAGUAAGCUGGUAUCCCUGGACUUCACCAACUGGAUUUAUCUUGUUGAAGGCGACAACGACUAUUUCCUGCCACUCGGCGAAGGAAGGUGGCCCAUCGUAGAGCCAGACAUUGGAUCAUUCGUCGCUAACCUUAGCAACCUCAAGGAGCUUUAUCUAGGCAACGUCGACUUGUCCGGCAACGGGGCAGCAUGGUGCAGUGCCUUUGCUAAUUCCACUCCACAGCUUCAGGUUCUCAGCCUACCAAAUACCCACAUCGAUGCUCCCAUUUGUGAAUCCUUGUCCACCAUUCGAUCACUGACCAAGAUCAACCUAAACUAUAACAAAGUGUAUGACCAAAUUCCAGAGUCCUUUGCUGACUUACCUUCCCCCAGUGUUCUUAAGCUUGCCUAUAAUCGCCUCCAAGGACGGUUCCCAAUGAGGAUCUUCCAGAACAGAAACUUAACGGCUGUUGAUGUUAGUUAUAAUUCCAAGGUAUCUGGUCUGCUUCCCAAUUUCUCAUCACAUAGUAUUAUGAUGAAGGAACUGCUUUUUAGCAACACUAACUUCUCUGGUCCCAUUCCGAGGUCAAUAAGUAAUCUCAAAUCCUUGAAGAAAGUAGGUAUUGCAGCAACUGACUUUCACCAAGAGCAGCUUCCCACUUCAAUUGGUGAGCUCAGAUCAUUAACAUCACUACAGUUCUCCAACUGUGGGUUAUCUGCUCAAGUACCUUCCUUCAUAGGUAACCUCAAGAACCUAAUUACAUUGAAAUUGUAUACAUGCAAUUUUUCUGGUCAAGUUCCUCCACAUCUAUGUAAUCUUACUCAAUUAGGCACCAUAAAUUUACAUUCCAACAGUUUCCGUGGUACCAUCCAACUCAGCUCGUUCUUCAAAAUGCCCAACCUAUUUAGCUUGAAUCUUUCAAACAACAAGCUUUCCGUAGUAGAUGGGGAGUACAAUUCUUCAUUGGCAUCCAUCCAAAACUUUGAUACUCUAUGUCUUGCAUCUUGUAGCAUAUCCGAGCUCCCUAAUACCUUGAAGCACAUGUAUAACGUUGAAGUUCUUGACCUCUCAAACAAUCACAUCCAUGGCCCUCUACCUCAGUGGGCAUGGGAUAAUUGGACCAAGUCUCUCAUCUUGAUGAACAUAUCAUACAACCAAUUAAGUAGUGGUAUUGGAUAUGGCCCUGUCAUUUCUGCUAAUAUGUUUGUUAUCGAUAUCAGUUAUAACCUAUUUGAAGGGCCUAUACCUAUGCCAGGACCGCAGAACCAACUAUUUGAUUGCUCAAACAACCAUUUCUCAUCCAUGCCAUUCAAUUUUGGUUCUCACUUAAGUAGUAUUUCCCUACUCAUGGCUCCUGGAAACAAGUUGUCUGGAGAAAUUCCACAAUCAAUCUGUGAAGCAACAAGCCUUAUGCUCCUUGAUCUCUCCAAUAAUGAUUUGAUUGGCUCCAUCCCUUCUUGUUUAAUGGAGGAUAUGAGUCGCCUCAAUGUAUUAAAUUUGGAAGGAAAUAAACUUCAUGGAAAAUUACCAAAUAGCCUGAAGCAAGAUUGUGCAUUUGAGGCAUUAGACUUCAGUGAUAAUCAGAUUGAAGGACAACUACCUAGAUCUCUAGCUGCUUGCAAAGACUUGGAGGUUUUUGAUAUCGGGAAGAAUCUUAUUAAUGAUACAUUUCCAUGUUGGAUGAGUAUGCUUCCUAAACUUCAAGUCCUUGUUCUAAAGUCCAACAGGUUCAUUGGAGAUGUGGGGCCAUCUAUUUCAGAAGAUCAAAAUAGUUGUGAGUUUGAAAAACUUCGAAUUAUUGACUUGGCUUCAAACAGUUUCUCUGGAUUAUUGCGAAAUGAAUGGUUUAUGUCAAUGGGAUCCAUGAUGACUAAAGAUGUCAAUGAGACGUUGGUCAUGGAAAAUCAAUAUGAUCUACUUGGCCAAACAUACCAGUUCACCACUGCCAUCACAUACAAAGGAUAUGAUAUUAGUUUUUCUAAAAUAUUGAGGACCAUUGUCAUCAUUGAUGUUUCUAAUAAUGCAUUUUAUGGCCCUAUUCCUGAGUCAAUUGGGGACCUUGUUCUACUCGGUGGGCUAAAUAUGUCACAUAAUGCCCUCAUUGGACUGAUACCAUCUCAGCUUGGCAUGCUACAUCAACUUGAGUCACUAGACAUGUCUUCAAAUGAACUUUCUGGAGAGAUCCCAUGGGAGUUGGCAUCAUUGGACUUUCUUUCAAUGUUGAAUCUAUCCUACAACCAGCUGCGGGGAAGAAUACCUGAGUCUUCCCACUUCUUGACAUUCUCUGGUCUCUCAUUUUUAGGAAACAUUGGCCUAUAUGGGUUUCAAGUGUCGAAAGCAUGUAACAACAUGACACCAGAUACGAUACAUCAGUCUAAGAAGGUAUCAAUAGACAUUGUACUAUUCCUUUUUGCAGGAUUGGGAUUUGGUGUCGGAUUCGCAGUUGCAAUUAUCUUGACAUGGGUGAGGGUAUCCCAGAUUACCGGGGUCCCACACAGCCGACCUGUCUCUCAUGGUCCAUAUUAA
rnacentral:rRNA from 1 species